rnacentral:rRNA from 1 species
AGAGUUUGAUCCUGGCUCAGGAUGAACGCUAGCGGCAGGCUUAACACAUGCAAGUCGAGGGGUAGAGGUUGCUUGCAACCUUGAGACCGGCGCACGGGUGCGUAACGCGUAUGCAACCUACCUUUUACAGAGGGAUAGCCCAGAGAAAUUUGGAUUAAUACCUCAUAGUAUAUAUCUUUCGCAUGUUAGGUAUAUUAAAGUUCCAACGGUAAAAGAUGGGCAUGCGUCCUAUUAGCUAGAUGGUAAGGUAACGGCUUACCAUGGCUACGAUAGGUAGGGGUCCUGAGAGGGAGAUCCCCCACACUGGUACUGAGACACGGACCAGACUCCUACGGGAGGCAGCAGUGAGGAAUAUUGGACAAUGGGCGCAAGCCUGAUCCAACCAUGCCGCGUGCAGGAAGAAGCAUCUAUGGUGUGUAAACUGCUUUUGUACAGGAAGAAACAUCCCGACGUGUCGGGACUUGACGGUACUGUAAGAAUAAGGAUCGGCUAACUCCGUGCCAGCAGCCGCGGUAAUACGGAGGAUCCAAGCGUUAUCCGGAAUCAUUGGGUUUAAAGGGUCCGUAGGCGGUUUGGUAAGUCAGUGGUGAAAGCCCGCAGCUCAACUGUGGAACGGCCAUUGAUACUGCCAGACUUGAAUUACAAGGAAGUAACUAGAAUAUGUAGUGUAGCGGUGAAAUGCUUAGAUAUUACAUGGAAUACCAAUUGCGAAGGCAGGUUACUACUUGUGGAUUGACGCUGAUGGACGAAAGCGUGGGGAGCGAACAGGAUUAGAUACCCUGGUAGUCCAA